UGCGCUCCUCCUGGGCGGCGCCGGGUGUCAUCCAUCUUCUUGCAAAUUAACCAGUUUCUCACGUUUCUCUGCAGAAUCUCCUUCUCAAAGCGCCCGAUCCUCCAGGUGGGAAAGGAGGAAAAAUAAAAAUUAAAAAAAUCUUAAAAAUGCCGUGAUGUGACAGUCCCCAACCUGGUCUCCCAGCCGCGGCGCUGCGAGAUGAGGCGGUUCCGUCCCGACUGGAUUUUCCAUCUUUCUCUCCUUUUAUUUGUUGGUUUAAUGCACCUGGAGAGAACUAGAAGGUUCCGAGGCCACCUGCCUCCCAUCCGGGUGGACCGUCCCGGGUGCUUUGUCACAGUAACGGAAACCUGACGAGUGCAUCCGUCCCCCUUUGAGAGAGAGAAUCAGGCGCAGGGCUUACCUGAGGUCACUCAGGA